rnacentral:rRNA from 1 species
GACGAACGCUGGCGGCGUGCUUAACACAUGCAAGUCGAACGGAAAGGCCCUGCUUUUGUGGGGUGCUCGAGUGGCGAACGGGUGAGUAACACGUGAGUAACCUGCCCUUGACUUUGGGAUAACUUCAGGAAACUGGGGCUAAUACCGGAUAGGAGCUCCUGCUGCAUGGUGGGGGUUGGAAAGUUUCGGCGGUUGGGGAUGGACUCGCGGCUUAUCAGCUUGUUGGUGGGGUAGUGGCUUACCAAGGCUUUGACGGGUAGCCGGCCUGAGAGGGUGACCGGCCACAUUGGGACUGAGAUACGGCCCAGAAUCCUACGGGAGGCAGCAGUGGGGAAUAUUGCACAAUGGGCGGAAGCCUGAUGCAGCAACGCCGCGUGCGGGAUGACGGCCUUCGGGUUGUAAACCGCUUUCGCCUGUGACGAAGCGUGAGUGACGGUAAUGGGUAAAGAAGCACCGGCUAAGUACGUG